rnacentral:rRNA from 1 species
AUUGAACGCUGGCGGCAUGCCUUACACAUGCAAGUCGAACGGUAACAGGUCUUCGGAUGCUGACGAGUGGCGAACGGGUGAGUAAUACAUCGGAACGUGCCCGAGAGUGGGGGAUAACGAGGCGAAAGCUUUGCUAAUACCGCAUACGAUCUCAGGAUGAAAGCAGGGGACCGCAAGGCCUUGCGCUCACGGAGCGGCCGAUGGCAGAUUAGGUAGUUGGUGGGAUAAAAGCUUACCAAGCCGACGAUCUGUAGCUGGUCUGAGAGGACGACCAGCAACACUGGGACUGAGACACGGCCCAGACUCCUACGGGAGGCAGCAGUGGGGAAUUUUGGACAAUGGGCGCAAGCCUGAUCCAGCCAUGCCGCGUGCAGGAUGAAGGCCUUCGGGUUGUAAACUGCUUUUGUACGGAACGAAAAGACUCUGGUUAAUACCUGGGGUCCAUGACGGUACCGUAAGAAUAAGCACCGGCUAACUACGUGCCAGCCGCCGCGGUAAAAC